rnacentral:lncRNA from 1 species
ACAACAAAUAAUUGUUUAUCGGGAACGAAGUGUCAACCUCUUAAGGCAUUGUCACCAAGUAAGCAAACAUCAUCACCACCACCACCUCAACUUAUUUUAGGUGAUGAACCAGAUAUAAUUGGUUCACCACCACCACCACCUCGACUUAUUCUAGGUGAUGAACCAAAUAUAAUUGGUUCGCCGCCGCCACCACCCCAACUUAUUUUAGGAGAUGAUCCAAAUAUAAUUGAUUCACCACCUUUGCCAGAAUUUCGUUCAGGGGAUGCAUCAGUGGGAAAUGGAAGCUUGAAGAACAACAAACUAAACAUAUUAUUCAUACUAGCUGCACAAACUUUGCUACCA